UUCAAAACUGUUGCAGUCUUAUGGAGCUAACCGAGUAUUUGAUGCUUUCCACAUGCUGCAGACUGAACCUUCUAUUCAGGUACCCUACUAGUGUGCCUUCAGGAUUAUUUUGAAACUGAUUAGUGGACACGUGGAUAUCAGAAAUAGUUGCUUAAUAUCAUAUCUUAAUUACUAGUGUGCCGUCAGGAUUAUUUUGAAACUGAUUAAUGGACACAUGGAUAUCAGAAAUAGUUGCUUAAUAUCAUAUCUUAAUUUGAUUGUUAUUUUUGUGAAAUAACUAGUAGUUUAGACUUUUCGAAAUAAAAUCUGAAUCCUCUUGAUGAGCUAUUUUCAAUAAAUGAGGUGGUGGCUAAACAGACUGUCUCUUGGAAAAAAGUAGUUGAAGUAAUUUCUUAGUUACAAUUGUGUUAGAGUUCAUGUAGCUUUUAUUGUUCGUAACUUAUUGGCUCACAAGAUUUUGGAG
rnacentral:lncRNA from 1 species